UUGUCCGGAAUUAUUGGGCGGAAAGGGCUCGUAGGCGGUCUGUCGCGUCGGGAGUGAAAACUCAGGGCUUAACCCUGAGCCUGCUUCCGAUACGGGCAGACUAGAGGUAUGCAGGGGAGAACGGAAUUCCUGGUGUAGCGGUGAAAUGCGCAGAUAUCAGGAGGAACACCGAUGGCGAAGGCAGGUCUCUGGGCCACUACUGACGCUGAGAAGCGAAAGCAUGGGGAGCGAACAGG
rnacentral:rRNA from 1 species